CAGUAGCCACGGUAAUACGAAGGGUGCAAGCGUUGUUCGGAAUUACUGGGCGUAAAGCGCACGUAGGCGGCUGUGUAAGUCAGAGGUGAAAGCCCGGGGCUCAACCCCGGAAUAGCCUUUGAGACUGCAUAGCUCGAACACGGGAGAGGUGAGUGGAAUUCCGAGUGUAGCAGUGAAAUGCGUAGAUAUGCGGAGGAACACCGAUGGCGAAGGCAAUCCCCAGGACCUGUACUGACGCUCAUGCACGAAAGCGUGGGGAGCAAACAGGAUUAGAGACCCGAGUAGUCCCUGUCUCUUAUAC
rnacentral:rRNA from 1 species